GACGAACGCUGGCGGCGUGCCUAAUACAUGCAAGUUGAGCGAUGAAGAUUGGUGCUUGCACCAAUUUGAAGAGCAGCGAACGGGUGAGUAACGCGUGGGGAAUCUGCCUUUGAGCGGGGGACAACAUUUGGAAACGAAUGCUAAUACCGCAUAACAACUUUAAACAUAAGUUUUAAGUUUGAAAGAUGCAAUUGCAUCACUCAAAGAUGAUCCCGCGUUGUAUUAGCUAGUUGGUGAGGUAAAGGCUCACCAAGGCGAUGAUACAUAGCCGACCUGAGAGGGUGAUCGGCCACCUUGGGACUGAGACACGGCCCAAACUCCUACGGGAGGCAGCAGUAGGGAAUCUUCGGCAAUGGACGAAAGUCUGACCGAGCAACGCCGCGUGAGUGAAGAAGGUUUUCGGGUCGUAAAACUCUGUUGGUAGGGAAGAACGUUGGUGAGAGUGGAAAGCUCAUCAAGUGACGGUAACUACCCAGAAAGGGACGGCUAACUACGUG
rnacentral:rRNA from 1 species